GGCUACAUCACGUUGAAACACCAGUUCCCAUACAAUCACCAAAGUUAAGCAACACUGAGCCUGGUCAGUAACUUGAUGGGUGACCACUUAGGAAUACCAGGUUCUGUA